CUUUCAUGAGGAGGAACCCAUUAUGCCAGAUGUUUCAAGAAAACCUGCUAAUGUAGUCGUAUUCUUCACAUAUUUAAGUAUUUAACCCAACCUGAUUAUUAUAAAACCGCAAAAAUGUUAACUUCAAAAAUCAAACAAUUAUUAAGUAUGUGUAACACCCCGUAUUUUAUACCCGUUUGUAUUAAUUUAUUUGCUGAAAAUAAUUUCAGAUUUCUUUUAUUAAAAAUAUUUUUGUUUUACUAACUUUGACUUUACCUUUGAAGUGGUUAAAAAAAACUAAUUCCUAGAUUUACUAGGUUUACUAUCUAAUAAGAGUUGAAAAAAAAAAAUAAAUAAAUAAAAGAAUACAAAUACUUUACCUACAGCAACAUCAUCAUUCAUCACAACUUUUUUCUUCCCGCAGAACUUCAUCUUCUCAUCUUAUAAUUCACAUUCUUUUUCUGUUUUUUUUUUCUUUCUCCUUUAAUUCUUCCUUCAACCAUUAUCACACAUCAAUUGAUCCAUCAUCUCCACCUUCAUCAUCUCUAGUUCGUUAGCUUUAAAAGAUAGGAAAUUUUUGGGUUAUUGGACUUGCGGUUUUCGGAUCAAGAGGUCGAGAUUGUUGGGUCUAUAUAGUGCAAUUUCACUUUUAUUACUUUUCCUAAUCAAAUUGCGGGUUCAUAAAGGAACCUUUUUUACUUGAGAUUGAGAUACACUGACUGUGUUUGCUACUAAGGGACUUGAAGAUAGUUAGCUCCAGUUGGGUUAAAGAGUGCGCUGGAUCCCUUUUGAUUUAAUAGGACUUUAAAAAGACUUCCGCUGUUAUUUAUUUAUAAGAUUUAUGUUUGGUUUGUAAUAAUUAAUUUUACAUUCUAUUUAGUUGGUCUGAAUAAUUAGUUAAAACUUAUUGGUUGUUGUUUUAGAUAGAACCAUUAGCCUUGCGGUUAUUAUUAAUAAUUAUCGCGGCGUAGCACCUUUGGAUUUCCGAGUUUAUUUAUAUUAAGUUGAUUUUAGAAGUAUUGGAAAUUCAAGGUUGUUACAGUUGGUAUCAGAGGUUUAGGUUACUAAGAUGUCCUUAAGACGACCUUAAACAAGAAUAGGUAAAUAAAUUUAUUAAAAAUGAAAAGCCGUUGUGAGGAAGUGAUAUGGGAAGACAAGGAAUUAUACUAUUAUGAGCUGAUGAUAUAUACUUCUCUUUUCAUGUUCUUGCUUGAUUUAUUUAUAGUUAUUUUCUUUUCCUUCUUUUGUUAAGAAUUAUUUGUAAGGGUGAAUCAUUUUUGGUUUAUCUUUGUUUCUAUUGUGCUUUUAAGAUGAUGCGUAGACACGCGCGUGCCAGAAACUCAAGUUCGAAUCGUAUGAUGCGCGAAAUAGCUCAAUCCACUCGAGCCUUAACUAAUGCUAUGGAGAAAUUUGCUGAGGCUCAAGCUGCUGCUCUUAA